AUGCCAACCCCCCCCAGGGGAGUGGGCAGGUGCACCAGCCCCCAAGAAUAUCGGAGGCUAUGUCGGCCCCCCCCGGGGCAUGGGGAGAUGCACCAGCCCCCAGGAAUAUUGGGGGCUAUGCCAGCCCCCCAGGGGUGUGGGCAGGUGCACCAGCUGCCAGGAACAUCAGGGGCUAUGCCAACCCCCCUAGGGGUGUCGGCAGGUGCACCAGCCCCCAGGAAUCUCAGGGGCUAUGCCAACCCCCCUAGGGGUGUAGGGAGAUGUACCAGCCCCCAGGAAUAUUGGGGGCUAUGCCAACCUCCCCAGGGGCAUGGGGAGAUGCACCAGCCUCCAGGAAUAUCGGGGGCCAUGCCGGCCCCCCAGUGGCAUGAGGAGGUGCUCCAGCCCCCAGGAAUGCUGUGCCUGGGAGUGCGCCCUGCCUUCCCUGCCACUGCUACGGAAACCCUGGAGGGCGUGCUCAUUGAUAACCACGUGCACCCACUGCCCAAGAGGGCACCAAGGGGCCCUGAGCACAAGAGGCCCCUGGAGGACACCUUGUGCUGUUCACUGAUGCCAAAUGAGGCUCUGACGCUGAUGACCUGGGAUCAAGCAUCAGAUGGGUACACGGGCACAGAACGGGCAUGUUGCUCUCGUGGAAGGAGGAAUGUGGUGGCAGAGAAAAAAGAAAACCAAAGUGAGAAGUAUGUGAACACACACACAUGCCCAUCUGGUCGCUGUGUGCCCGUCUGCUCAUCUGCAAAAUGGAGACCAGGCUACACCUGCCACAGAGCCACAGGCAUCAAGUGGGAUGAUCCACUCGAGGUGCUUGGAUGCCGGCCGCUGGCGCCAAGCACCAAUAAUUGGCAAGUGGACCUCCAUCCUCAUGUCUCCUCCUUCUCCCCCUCCCACCACUGCUGCGAGGGUCUCAGCUCUGCAGGAGGGCUGCCCACCCGCUGUAUGAAGACCCAGCCAAGUCUGGCUGCGAGGCAGGAAGGAGGAAAGCUGCAGAGGCUUCAAAUGGGCCAGGUCUGGAGAAACGGAAAUAGGCCAGUGGAGGAAGCCCUCGGUGGUGAGGACGUGGGGACGAAGACGCCAAUGCCACCAGGACACCCGGAGCCAAGCGCUGCUUCGUGGAUGGAAGGAGAGACCCACCAGAGGAAUGAAGUUACACGGUGGUGGUUUCGAAGCCUCCUUUACACAUUUUAG
rnacentral:lncRNA from 12 species